rnacentral:rRNA from 1 species
UACGAAGGGGGCUAGCGUUGCUCGGAAUCACUGGGCGUAAAGGGUGCGUAGGCGGGUUUUUAAGUCAGGGGUGAAAUCCUGGAGCUCAACUCCAGAACUGCCUUUGAUACUGAAGAUCUUGAGUCCGGGAGAGGUGAGUGGAACUGCGAGUGUAGAGGUGAAAUUCGUAGAUAUUCGCAAGAACACCAGUGACGAAGGCGGCUCACUGGCCCGGUACUGACGCUGAGGCACGAAAGCGUGGGGAGCAAACAGG